CAAAUUCGAUUUUGCCUGUUGUUGCGUUCUAAAAUGCGCCACCUGAAAUUAUUACGAGCUGCAAGCUGGAGUGUGAAGCGUCGCAGCGAGGGGCGCUAUAGCAAGCCCCAACAGGACGAAGCGGUCUUUUUCGAUUUGUGCUUUCGUCUGCUCGGUCUUUCACAGCUGGCCUGGAUCGCCCCCUUGAGGACUCUGGUUUAUUACCUCCACAGGGACAUAAGACCUCACGUUGACCUGGAGUUGUGGGACUUGCAGCGCACUCUGACCACGUAGCUCCCCGGCGGCAGGUCCAGCAGCUCCAGCCGCGGCUCGCGCAGUACCCCCUUCACCUGCAGAGGGCGACACACAGACAGCGGUGCAUUUUACAGAAGGGCCUGAAACGAGAGACCCCACCUUCCAGUUGUGAGGCUCGGACUGGCGGCGGUACUGCAGCUCGAAGACGAGAGUCACCCAGCCCGAGUGCACGUCUUCGGCGUUUGGGUACAACCAGGACACCAUCGCCG